AUUGAACGCUGGCGGCAGGCCUAACACAUGCAAGUAGAGCGGAGCGGCGGACGGGUGAGUAAUGCCUAGGAAUCUGCCUGGUAGUGGGGGAUAACGUACGGAAAGGGGCGCUAAUAACGCAUAGUAAAAGAUGAGCCGAGGUGGGAUUAGCGAGUUGGUGGGGUAAAGGCCUACCAAGGGGACGAUCCGUAACUGGUCUGAGAGGCUGAUCAGUCAGACUGGAACUGAGACACGGUCCAGACUCCUACGGGAGGCAGCAGUGGGGAAUAUUGGACAAUGGGCGAAAGCCUGAUCCAGCCAUGCCGCGUGUAUGAAGAAGGCCUUAGGGUUGUAAAGUACUUUCAGCGGGGAGGCGUUACCCGCAGAAGAAGCACCGGCUAACUCCGUGCCAGCAGCCGCGGUAAUAC
rnacentral:rRNA from 1 species